UACGUAGGGUGCAAGCGUUAAUCGGAAUUACUGGGCGUAAAGCGUGCGCAGGCGGUUAUGUAAGUCAGAUGUGAAAUCCCCGGGCUCAACCUGGGAAUGGCAUUUGAGACUGCAUGGCUAGAGUGUGUCAGAGGGGGGUAGAAUUCCACGUGUAGCAGUGAAAUGCGUAGAGAUGUGGAGGAAUACCGAUGGCGAAGGCAGCCCCCUGGGAUAACACUGACGCUCAUGCACGAAAGCGUGGGGAGCAAACAGG
rnacentral:rRNA from 1 species